AUAGAGACGUAUUUCCCUUCUACAUGUGGAAAAUCCCCAAGAGAGUCCCACAGACAUCGAUGACCUCAGGCACAACCAGGGCUGCCUGGCCGGGAAUGGGAUGGGAGGACCUCUAGUGACCUCACUGCUGCCCCAGGAGUACAGAACACCCACUGGGAUUGUGGGCUCCACCCUGCUGCCCCUGUCCUCAGGGCAAACUUCUCCACCUUCUUCCUGGGAAGCUCCUACUCACCCCGUCCACGAGUGGCUCUCCCCAUCCUGCUCAGCCUUCCCUCAGUUACUAGAAUGUUCCACAGCCAGUUCCACAGCCAGGACAUGCCUCAGGAGUCGUCCCCAGAAGCAGGCCCUCUGUCCACUCAUCCAGGUACCGA